CUGACAGUCAUCUAGGCCUACUCAAUCUUCACCUUUCUACGUAGGAAACACAGGGAUGAGCUGGAGGUCUUAAAGUCCCUGGCAGUGCUGUCGAAGAUUGGCUUGUUAAACAACUUCUUGAACAUAAUACCCAUCAAUAUAAUCGUGGAUGGAGUAAAACCAAAGCUAAAAUGACUCAAUCAAUGUGAUCAGAAUCAGAUUUGAACUUUUCUACUGAAAGCACCUUUAGGCCGCUACAUCACAUACAUCCACUUUCGGUUAGGAACAUUCCACUUUGCACCUACUGUAUACUGUAUUUUAACCAAUCACCAAUGUAAAGACCAAGGAUUUCAUCCUGCCACCUGGGAUGCAACUCCAAUUGAAUGAACUGUCAUUAUAGUAUUUUUCAGAUUUUUCCACAAACAACUUUUAGGUGUCAGUCAUAGCGGCACACGCACAUUACAUGUUGGGCUUUUGAUUACUGUUCUGGUUUUGUCAAUGCUACUUUUCCUGUUAUUGUAUACUUUGUGAAGAUUGUUCUCAAGUGAACCAUCAGAAGAAUGACAGGUGUUUGAGAUGCGAUGACUGAAGAAGUGGAAAUGUGAAGGAAAUGUUAUUGAAAGAGACAACAGAUGGAAGUGGACACAGAUGGACAAAAAAAAGAAGUAGACAAAAGCAGAGGUUGAGAGAUGAUCUGAAAUCAUA